UCAGAUGUGGUGUUGUGGUGACACGGCCUCUUCAAAUAUGUCUGUAUCGAUUCAGAGUAGUAUUGGGGGCAGUCCGGGGUUCGAUUCCCUGUGUCUGAA